rnacentral:rRNA from 1 species
UAAGAUCCGUGGUCAAAAGGGAAAUAGCCCAGACCGUCAGCUAAGGUCCCUAAUCGUGAGCUAAGUGGAAAAGGUUGUAAGAUCGCUCAGACAGCCAGGAGGUUGGCUUAGAAGCAGCCAUCCUUUAAAGAGUGCGUAAUAGCUCACUGGUCGAGCGAUUUUGCGCCGAAAAUGUAACGGGGCUCAAGUUCACAACCGAAGCUACGGACUUGCAUCGCAAGAUGUGAGUGGUAGGGGAGCAUUCUCUGUGCAGUGAAGGUUGACCGACAAGGACAACUGGAGCGCAGAGAAGAGAUUAUGCAGGCAUAAGUAGCGAUAAACGAUGUGAGAAUCAUCGUCCCCGUAAGCCUAAGGUUUCCUGGCCUAUGUUCGUCAGGUCAGGGUGAGUCGGAUCCUAAGCCGAGGUCGACAGACGUAGGCGAUGGCAAACAGGUCAAUAUUCCUGUACCACCGUAUUGACGUUAUCAGCGGAA